AAGCUUCGGCAGAUUCUUGUAAAAUCUUAGUGGCGGACGGGUGAGUAACGCGUGGGCAACCUGCCUCAUACUGGGGGAUAACAGCUGGAAACGACUGUUAAUACCGCAUAAGCGCACAGUAUCGCAUGAUACAGUGUGAAAAACUCCGGUGGUAUGAGAUGGGCCCGCGUCAGAUUAGCCAGUUGGCAGGGUAACGGCCUACCAAAGCGACGAUCUGUAGCCGGCCUGAGAGGGCGGACGGCCACAUUGGGACUGAGACACGGCCCAAACUCCUACGGGAGGCAGCAGUGGGGGAUAUUGCACAAUGGAGGAAACUCUGAUGCAGCGACGCCGCGUGAGUGAAGAAGU
rnacentral:rRNA from 1 species